rnacentral:rRNA from 1 species
GUCGACCGCCUGGGGAGUACGGCCGCAAGGUUAAAACUCAAAUGAAUUGACGGGGGCCCGCACAAGCGGUGGAGCAUGUGGUUUAAUUCGAUGCAACGCGAAGAACCUUACCUACUCUUGACAUCCACGGAACUUGCCAGAGAUGGCUUGGUGCCUUCGGGAACCGUGAGACAGGUGCUGCAUGGCUGUCGUCAGCUCGUGUUGUGAAAUGUUGGGUUAAGUCCCGCAACGAGCGCAACCCUUAUCCUUUGUUGCCAGCGGUCCGGCCGGGAACUCAAAGGAGACUGCCAGUGAUAAACUGGAGGAAGGUGGGGAUGACGUCAAGUCAUCAUGGCCCUUACGAGUAGGGCUACACACGUGCUACAAUGGCAUAUACAAAGAGAAGCGACCUCGCGAGAGCAAGCGGACCUCAUAAAGUAUGUCGUAGUCCGGAUUGGAGUCUGCAACUCGACUCCAUGAAGUCGGAAUCGCUAGUAAUCGUGGAUCAGAAUGCCACGGUGAAUACGUUCCCGGGCCUUGUACACACCGCCCGUCACACCAUGGGAGUGGGUUGCAAAAGAAGUAGGUAGCUUAACCUUCGGGAGGGCGCUUACCACUUUGUGAUUCAUGACUGGGGUGAAGUCGUAACAAGGUAACCGUAGGGGAACCUGCGGUUGGAUCACCUCCUUACCUUAAAGAA